rnacentral:rRNA from 1 species
UACGUAGGGUGCAAGCGUUAAUCGGAAUUACUGGGCGUAAAGCGUGCGCAGGCGGUGAUGUAAGACAGAUGUGAAAUCCCCGAGCUCAACUUGGGAACUGCAUUUGUGACUGCAUCGCUGGAGUGCGGCAGAGGGGGAUGGAAUUCCGCGUGUAGCAGUGAAAUGCGUAGAUAUGCGGAGGAACACCGAUGGCGAAGGCAAUCCCCUGGGCCUGCACUGACGCUCAUGCACGAAAGCGUGGGGAGCAA